rnacentral:tRNA from 1 species
GGGGGUAUAGCUCAGUUGAGAGCACCUGCUUUGCAAGCAGGGGUCAAGGGUUCGAAUCCCUUUAUCUCCACCA